rnacentral:lncRNA from 1 species
CUAACUUAAAAAUAAAAAAAUAAUUUAUAGAAAUAUUAAUUAUUAAUUAUUUAUUUUUGUAUUAAAUAAUUUAUAAAAAAAAAAAAAAAAAGUAACUCUAACGGAACUUGAACAGCCGUUCGGUCCCUCAGUAAGCAAGAGCGUUACCGCUACGCCACGGAACUAUUGCUGCAACCGGUAAAAAGGUUCCUUCUACUUAAGUUACAUAUAGAACUUUGAGUUGAAAUUUCUCAAUAACAAAAACGAAUGGCGUCUUGCCGCUUUAUAUAUUUAUUGAGGGGACCCUGCCCUACAAUAUAUGUGGGGGAGAUGA